GUUGACCUCGGAUCAGGUAGGAAUACCCGCUGAACUUAAGCAUAUCAAUAAGCGGAAGA
rnacentral:rRNA from 1 species